rnacentral:rRNA from 1 species
AUUGAACGCUGGCGGAAUGCUUUACACAUGCAAGUCGAGCGGCAGCGCGGGGGCAACCCUGGCGGCGAGCGGCGAACGGGUGAGUAACAUAUCGGAACGUACCCCGUCGUGGGGGAUAACACAGCGAAAGCUGUGCUAAUACCGCAUACGACCUGAGGGUGAAAGCGGGGGAUCGCAGGACCUCGCGCGAUGGGAGCGGCCGAUAUCGGAUUAGCUUGUUGGUGAGGUAAAGGCUCACCAAGGCGACGAUCCGUAGCUGGUCUGAGAGGACGACCAGCCACACUGGGACUGAGACACGGCCCAGACUCCUACGGGAGGCAGCAGUGGGGAAUUUUGGGACAAUGGGCGCAAGCCUGAUCCAGCAAUGCCGCGUGCAGGAAGAAGGCCU